rnacentral:misc_RNA from 1 species
ACAAACUUGGUCAUUUAGAGGAAGUAAAAGUCGUAACAAGGUCUCCGUAGGUGAACCUGCGGAGGGAUCAUUACUGAGUUCGUGCCCCGUUAGGGGUAGAUCUCCCACCCUUGUGUAUUCCUACCUGUGUUGCUUUGGCAGGCCGCGAGGCUUCGGCCUGGCCACCGGCUGCAUGGCUGGUGCGCGCCUGCCAGAGGAUCUCUUAACGCUGGUUAUCAGUGUUGUCUGAGUCUUUAGAAAAAGUUAAAACUUUCAACAACGGAUCUCUUGGUUCUGGCAUCGAUGAAGAACGCAGC